rnacentral:rRNA from 1 species
ACCUCACCGCAAUGGUAAUUCAGCUUAGUACGAGAGGAACCGCUGAUUCAGAUAAUUGGUUUUUGCGGCUGUCCGACCGGGCAGUGCCGCGACGCUACCAUCUGCUGGAUAAUGGCUGAACGCCUCUAAGUCAGAAUCCAUGCCAGAACGCGGUGAUACCACCCGCACGUAUAGAUGGACAAGAAUAGGCUUCGGCUUUGCGUCUCAGCAGGCGAUUCGUCCACGGCCACGGAAGAGUGGUUUUGGUAUUUCGCGUAUUGUAAUUUCAACACGAGCGGGGUUAAAUCCUUUGCAGACGACUUAGCUGUGCGAAACGGUCCUGUAAGCAGUAGAGUAGCCUUGUUGUUACGAUCUGCUGAGGGUAAGCCGUCCUUCGCCCCGAUUU